GCUCAACACAUGCAAGUCGAGCGAGAAUCGUUUAUUGAAGGCUUCGGCUGGAAAUAGAUGAGGAAAGCGGCAAACGGGUGAGUAACGCGUGGGCAACCUGGCCUUAAGAAAAGGAUAGCCCCCGGAAACGGGGCGUAAUACUUUAUGAGAAUGAAAGAGGGCAUCCUACUUUCAUUCAAAGCGCAAGCGCUUAAGGAUGGGCCCGCGUAUCAUUAGCUAGUUGGUGAGAUAACAGCCCACCAAGGCAACGAUGAUUAGCCGGUCUGAGAGGGCGAACGGCCACAUUGGAACUGAGAGACGGUCCAAACUCCUACGGGAGGCAGCAGUGGGGAAUAUUGCGCAAUGGAGAAGAACUCUGACGCAGCAAUACCGCGUGAGCGAAGAAGGUCUUCGGAUCGUAAAGCUCUGUUAUCAGGGAAGAAGAAAAUGACGGUACCUGAUGAGCAAGUCCCGGCUAACUACGUGCCAGCCGCCGCAGUAA
rnacentral:rRNA from 1 species